rnacentral:lncRNA from 1 species
AUGAGAGGAGUUUCUUAUAAAAGCUUUCGAAUUCAGAUGUAACCCAGCAAUGCACUCAGACUCCUCUCUGCUGUGGAGAGCUUUUUUUUUUUUUUUUCAUAUUAAACUUUCACUCCAACUUUAUCUUUGUGUUUACAAUUCUUAAUUUUUUUGUCUUGGAUAAAGAACAAAAAACCUGGAGUACUUCUUCAGACAACAAGAAACUUCCAAAUUAAGGUGCAUUGGCAAGAAUGCAACAUAUUUUGAUCCAUUGGCUUGGAAGGAGGGAAUUCAUCAGAAGGAGUCAAGGACACUUGUCUUGAGCUAGCUACACCCUUUCACAACUCAGUAAGGAGUGAAGACUGAUUUUGCAGAGCCAAUAAAGGCCCCUGGGGAAACUGGCCUCAUAUCUUGUCAUGAAGAUUUUAUACAGGUUUCCUAACCUGUGUGCUCACUGCUGCAAAGAAGAACAAGCACACAGGCAAAAAGUUUUCCCAGCAAGAAUGCCAGGGUGAAAGGAAAGAUCAAUUGGACCAGAGCACAAGUGCUGCUCCAGUUACUUGGCAGAGUACCUAAUAGUGAUCCACCACAAUACCACCAUAUAUCUGUUUGGGAAUAAACAAGGGCAAGUUGACUGCUUAAGAGUGAUGACAUGCAACUCAGUCUCUUGCAACACCACCUGAGAAAAGGAAGCACUAGCAGGAAGAACAAAUUGAUGGAGAGGAAAAGUGAUGAAUACAGAUAAGAAGCACAGCUGGUGGAGGCUCAUGUGCCAGUUUACUGGGCCUCAGGACAUUCUCCUCUAGAAGGAGGAGACAGCAUGACCCCCACUUUCUUUUAUUUUAUUAUAAUUUAAGUUUUAGGGUACAUGAGCACAAUGUGCAGGUUAGUUACAUAUGU